GACGAACGCUGGCGGCGUGCUUAACACAUGCAAGUCGAACGAAGUGGCGAACGGGUGAGUAACGCGUAAUCAACCUGCCCUUCAGAGGGGGACAACAGUUGGACACGACUGCUAAUACCGCAUACUGAAGGAGGGGAUUGAGUCUGAUUAGCUAGUGGGAGGGGUAACGGCCGACCAAGGCGAUGAUCAGUAGCCGGGCUGGGAGGAUGAACGGCCACAUUGGGAACGGGACAAGGCCCAGACUCCUACGGGAGGCAGCAGGGGGGAAACUUCCGCAAUGGACGAAAGUCUGACGGAGCAACGCCGCGGGAGUGAUGACGGCCUUCGGGUUGGAAAGCUCUGUUAAUCGGGACGCGGUACCGGAAUAGAAAGCCACGGCUAACUACGUGCCAGCAGCCGCGGUAAUAC
rnacentral:rRNA from 1 species